AUAUAAGUUGUAGGGAACUGAAAGGACCGACCUUCGGGGAGCUUAUACAGGUUGUUGCAUGGCUGUCGUCAGCUCGUGUCGUGAGAUGUUCGGUUAGUCCGCUAACGAGCGCAACCCGCGUUGUGUGUUAUAUGUGUCACACAAUACCGCCGGUAUUAAGCCGGAGGAAGGUGCGGAUGACGUCAAGUCAGCAUGACCUUUAUAUCCAGGGCUACACACACGCUACAAUGGACAGUACAACAGGUUGCCAAGCCGCGAGGCGGAGCCAAUCCUCUAAAGCUGUCCUCAGUUCAGAUUGCAGGCUGCAACUCGCCUGCAUGAAGUUGGAGUUGCUAGUAACCGCAGGUCAGCUAUACUGCGGUGAAUACGUUCCCGGGGAUU
rnacentral:rRNA from 1 species